rnacentral:tRNA from 1 species
GGGUCCAUAGUGUAGUGGUUAGCAUGUCUGUUUUACAUGCAGAAGGUCCUGGGUUCACUCUCCAGGUGGAACCA